AUUUUUUGCCUAGUAAGUUUCUUAUUCUGAAAGCUCUUAAUCUGGUACGCUAUUGGUGUCGUUUAUUGUGUGUGUCCACUUGAUUCUGCUCUGCAUUCAGUGUGUUAAUUAAUGCGUGAUCUCUAUUGAGUCACCCCUGGUAUUUCUGGUCAUAGCCCACUCCUAAUUGUGGACCCUGGGCACCAGUUGAAAGGUGUAAUAUAAUUGUAUUACUCGUUGGCCCUAG